UGCUCGCACAGUAUUGUCUCAUGCAGAAGAAGGUUAGACAAUGGUGUGCAUUACAUGAUGAGUUCAGCCUGGGGACCUGCUAUUUUUAUUGUCUUUUCUACAAGGUGACGAAACAUCUUUAACACAUUUGCUUUUCAGGUCUCGCAUUUAAACAAUUAAGGAGACGUCGCCUGGUUGACAAUUAAGUUCUGAUGAAACAUCUUGCUCAGAUUUUUAAACAACAUGUGAUGCUAUUGGUGUCAUUAUGGCAAAUGUCAGUUCAUCUGAUACAAACCCGUCCAAACUUGAUUUCGUACACAUCAUUUUAAUCUGCAUCUACGCCGUUACCGUUUUCUUCAUGGUUGUACUUGGAUGCCUUUGCCUAAACAAGUAUAUUUUAACAUUUAUA
rnacentral:lncRNA from 1 species